AUGGUGCUUGCACCUGAUUGAUUUUGGUCGCCAACGAGUGGCGGACGGGUGAGUAACACGUAGGUAACCUGCCCAGAAGCGGGGGACAACAUUUGGAAACAGAUGCUAAUACCGCAUAACAACGUUGUUCGCAUGAACAACGCUUAAAAGAUGGCUUCUCGCUAUCACUUCUGGAUGGACCUGCGGUGCAUUAGCUUGUUGGUGGGGUAAUGGCCUACCAAGGCGAUGAUGCAUAGCCGAGUUGAGAGACUGAUCGGCCACAAUGGGACUGAGACACGGCCCAUACUCCUACGGGAGGCAGCAGUAGGGAAUCUUCCACAAUGGGCGCAAGCCUGAUGGAGCAACACCGCGUGAGUGAAGAAGGGUUUCGGCUCGUAAAGCUCUGUUGUUAAAGAAGAACACGUAUGAGAGUAACUGUUCAUACGUUGACGGUAUUUAACCAGAAAGUCACGGCUAACUACGUGCCAGCAGCCGCGGUAAUACGUAGGUGGCAAGCGUUAUCCGGAUUUAUUGGGCGUAAAGAGAGU
rnacentral:rRNA from 1 species